ensembl:snoRNA Gm24793 predicted gene, 24793
UAUGAGCCUAAAGGCGUCGCAGGGGUGGCUGCUGUGCCACAUUUCCGUCAGUAGGUGGCAGAGAGGAAAGAAGCUAAGUCUAUGCUCAGUGUUCUGACCUGUGCACCUCUGAAUGAUCAGUAGCCUAAAACU